AGAACGAACGCUGGCGGCAGGCUUAACACAUGCAAGUCGAACGGGCGUAGCAAUACGUCAGUGGCGCACGGGUGAGUAACGCGUGGGCAACCUACCUGGUGGUACGGAAUAACUGCGGGAAACUGCAGCUAAUACCGUAUGUCCCCUAUGGGGGAAAGAUUUAUCGCCAUCAGAUGGGCCCGCGUAGGAUUAGCUAGUUGGUGAGGUAACGGCUCACCAAGGCUUCGAUCCUUAGCUGGUCUGAGAGGAUGAUCAGCCACACUGGGACUGAGACACGGCCCAGACUCCUACGGGAGGCAGCAGUGGGGAAUAUUGGACAAUGGGCGCAAGCCUGAUCCAGCCAUGCCGCGUGAGUGAUGAAGGCCUUCGGGUUAGUAAAGCUCUUUUGGCGGGGACGAGUGAUGACGGUACCCGCAGAAUAACGCCCGGCUAACUUCGUGCCAGCAGCCGC
rnacentral:rRNA from 1 species